rnacentral:rRNA from 1 species
UACAGAGGGGGCAAGCGUUAUUCGGAAUUAUUGGGCGUAAAGGGCGCGUAGGCGGCCUGGCAAGUGACGGGUGAAAGCCCUCGGCUCAACCGAGGAACUGCCUGUCAUACUGCCGGGCUUGAGUCCGGGAGAGGUGAGUGGAAUUCCCAGUGUAGCGGUGAAAUGCGUAGAUAUCUGGAGGAACACCGGUGGCGAAGGCGGCAUCCUGGACCGACACUGACGCUGAGGAGCGAAAGCCAGGGGAGCAAACGGG